rnacentral:rRNA from 1 species
CCUACGGGGGGCAGCAGUGAGGAAUAUUGGUCAAUGGACGAGAGUCUGAACCAGCCAAGUAGCGUGAAGGAUGACUGCCCUAUGGGUUGUAAACUUCUUUUAUAUGGGAAUAAAACAGGGUAUGCAUACCCUCUUGUAUGUACCAUAUGAAUAAGGAUCGGCUAACUCCGUGCCAGCAGCCGCGGUAAUACGGGGGAUGCGAGCGUUAUCCGGAUUUGUUGGGUUUAAAGGGUGGGUAGGCGGACUGUUAAGUCAGCGGUAAAAGCCCGGGGCUCAACCCCGGCGAGCCGGUGAAACUGGCUGGCUUGAGAUGUCGAGAGGUAUGCGGAAUGCGCAGUGUAGAGGUGAAAUGCUUAGAGAUUGCGCAGAACUCCGAUGGUGAAGGCAGCAUACCGGCGGCGAUCUGACGCUGAGGCACGAAAGCGUGGGUAUCGAACAGGAUUAGAUACCCUUGUAGUC